rnacentral:rRNA from 1 species
UACGGGGGGGGUAAGCGUUGUUCGGAAUUACUGGGCGUAAAGGGCUCGUAGGCGGAUCGAUCAGUCAGGGGUGAAAUCCCAGGGCUCAACCCUGGAACUGCCUUUGAUACUGCCGAUCUGGAGUAUGGAAGAGGUGAGUGGAAUUCCGAGUGUAGAGGUGAAAUUCGUAGAUAUUCGGAGGAACACCAGUGGCGAAGGCGGCUCACUGGUCCAUUACUGACGCUGAGGUGCGAAAGCGUGGGGAGCAAACAGG